UGGGGAAUCUUCCGCAAUGGACGAAAGUCUGACGGAGCAACGCCGCGUGAGUGAAGACGGCCUUCGGGUUGUAAAGCUCUGUGAUCCGGGACGAAAUAGCCUGAGGCAAAUAGCCUAAGGACGUGACGGCACCGGAAAAGCAAGCCACGGCUAACUACGUGCCAGCAGCCGCGGUAAUACGUAGGUGGCAAGCGUUGUCCGGAAUUAUUGGGCGUAAAGCGCGCGCAGGCGGCUUCCUAAGUCCAUCUUAAAAGUGCGGGGCUUAACCCCGUGAUGGGAUGGAAAAUGGGAAGCUGGAGUUUCGGGGAGGAAAGUGGAAUUCCUGGUGUAGCGGUGAAAUGCGUAGAGAUUAGGAAGAACCCCGGUGGCGAAGGGGACUUUGUGGACGAGAACUGACGCUGAGGCGCGAAAGCGUGGGGAGCAAACAGG
rnacentral:rRNA from 1 species